GAGGAUUUGAGAAGAGGUUGCAGAUGAUCAAGGAGCGACACGUGCAGGGAUGGCUUGAAAAGGGUGAUUAGCUUCAGGUUCCAGGUGGGACCUAGUGGUAACUGAGUUGCAGGUAUUCCAUGACAGAGCUCCUUCUGCCUGGGCUGCUUUUUGGGCCUUGGAGAGAUGAAGUCCCCAUGGUGUGGAGUGGUGCAAAAAGGUAAGAGGGUUGUCAGCCCGGUCAGUUUUCUUCACCAAUGCUAAGGCAAGUCUUUGAAGAGAAACAGCCUGGUUGCUUGUGCUGCACCCUGUUGAACUAAGCCAGACCAAAACCAGGGCUGCCGUUCCUCCUGCUCUCUUUACCUCUUCUCAUC